AGUGAACGCUGGCGGUAGGCCUAACACAUGCAAGUCGAACGGCAGCACAGUAAGAGCUUGCUCUUACGGGUGGCGAGUGGCGGAAGGGUGAGGAAUACAUCGGAAUCUACUUUUUCGGGGGGGCUAACGUAGGGAAACGUACGCUAAUACCGCAUACGACCUACGGGUGAAAGCAGGGGAUCUUCGGACCUUGCGGGAUUGAAUGAGCCGAGGUCGGAUUAGCUAGUUGGCGGGGUAAAGGCCCACCAAGGCGACGAUCGGUAGCUGGUAUGAGAGGAUGAUCCGCCACACGGGAAGAGAGAAACGGCACAGACUCUGACGGUAGGCCGCAGCGGGGAAUACUGGGGAAGGGGGGAAAGGGGGAUCUAGGCCUACCGGGGGAGGGAAGAAGGCGCUAGGGUUGGUAAGCCAUUUUGGCGGGAAAGAAAUGAAGCAGUUUAACACCCCACUGUUCUGACGGUACCGAAAGAAUAAGCACCGGCUAACUUCGUG
rnacentral:rRNA from 1 species